UUUUCGGAGGUACUCGAGUGGCGAACGGGUGAGUAACACGUGGGUGAUCUGCCCUGCACUCUGGGAUAAGCCUGGGAAACUGGGUCUAAUACCGGAUAGGACCGCACUUUAGUGUGUGUGGUGGAAAGUUUUUUCGGUGUAGGAUGAGCCCGCGGCCUAUUAGCUUGUUGGUGGGGUAAUGGCCUACCAAGGCGGCGACGGGUAGCCGGACUGAGAGGUUGGUCGGCCACAUUGGGACUGAGAUACGGCCCAG
rnacentral:rRNA from 1 species